rnacentral:lncRNA from 1 species
UACUGUCGAUAGACGUCUUCUUCGGAGGCAGAGAUGGUUCCAAGGUUCUGAAUCGACGACAAGGGACAGCAAAGAUAGGAUGUAGGAGGUCGAUUUCACAGCAGUGAUUUGUCGAUCAUGCUGCCGAAGUUUGUCCUUGCAGUGGCAAUUUUAGGGCUCCAAAUGAGAAUUCUGAGUUCGUCCCUUUUUUCCUUGUCUUUUUUUUUGUUUCACUUUUAUUCUGCAAUUGCCACGUCAUUUUGCAGGACUUCUGUGAGGUUGCUG